UAUAUAGGUAUCCAAGGAGGUAGCAGCACUCACGUGAUUUUUUUUAAUAUAGACUAGAAUUUUUAAAUUCCGUGAGUGCUGCUACCUCUUUGGAUACCUAGAU